AACGAACGCUGGCGGCAGGCCUAACACAUGCAAGUCGAGCGCUUUCCUUCGGGAAGGAGCGGCGGACGGGUGAGUAACGCGUGGGAAUGUACCCUUCUCUGCGGAAUAGCCACUGGAAACGGUGAGUAAUACCGCAUACGCCCUUCGGGGGAAAGAUUUAUCGGAGAAGGAUCAGCCCGCGUUAGAUUAGAUAGUUGGUGGGGUAACGGCCUACCAAGUCUACGAUCUAUAGCUGGUUUUAGAGGAUGAUCAGCCACACUGGGACUGAGACACGGCCCAG
rnacentral:rRNA from 1 species